rnacentral:rRNA from 1 species
GCAGUCGAACGAGUUCUCGUUGAUGAUCGGUGCUUGCACCGAGAUUCAACAUGGAACGAGUGGCGGACGGGUGAGUAACACGUGGGUAACCUGCCCUUAAGUGGGGGAUAACAUUUGGAAACAGAUGCUAAUACCGCAUAGAUCCAAGAACCGCAUGGUUCUUGGCUGAAAGAUGGCGUAAGCUAUCGCUUUUGGAUGGACCCGCGGCGUAUUAGCUAGUUGGUGAGGUAACGGCUCACCAAGGCGAUGAUACGUAGCCGAACUGAGAGGUUGAUCGGCCACAUUGGGACUGAGACACGGCCCAAACUCCUACGGGAGGCAGCAGUAGGGAAUCUUCCACAAUGGACGCAAGUCUGAUGGAGCAACGCCGCGUGAGUGAAGAAGGCUUUCGGGUCGUAAAACUCUGUUGUUGGAGAAGAAUGGUCGGCAGAGUAACUGUUGUCGGCGUGACGGUAUCCAACCAGAAAGCCACGGCUAACUACGUGCCAGCAGCCGCGGUAAUACGUAGGUGGCAAGCGUUAUCCGGAUUUAUUGGGCGUAAAGCGAGCGCAGGCGGUUUUUUAAGUCUGAUGUGAAAGCCCUCGGCUUAACCGAGGAAGCGCAUCGGAAACUGGCAAACUUGAGUGCAGAAGAGGACAGUGGAACUCCAUGUGUAGCGGUGAAAUGCGUAGAUAUAUGGAAGAACACCAGUGGCGAAGGCGGCUGUCUGGCCUGUAACUGACGCUGAGGCUCGAAAGCAUGGGUAGCGAACAGGAUUAGAUACCCUGGUAGUCCAUGCCGUAAACGAUGAAUGCUAGGC